UACGGAGGGUGCAAGCGUUAUCCGGAUUCACUGGGUUUAAAGGGUGCGUAGGUGGGCAGGUAAGUCAGUGGUGAAAUCUCCGGGCUUAACCCGGAAACUGCCAUUGAUACUAUCUGUCUUGAAUGUCGUGGAGGUUAGCAGAAUAUGUCAUGUAGCGGUGAAAUGCUUAGAUAUGACAUAGAAUACCCAUUGCGAAGGCAGCUAACUACGCGAUAAUUGACGCUGAUGCA
rnacentral:rRNA from 1 species